AGCGAACGCUGGCAGCAGGCCUAACACAUGCAAGUCGAACGAACUCUUCGGAGUUAGUGGCGGACGGGUGAGUAACACGUGGGAACGUGCCUUUAGGUUCGGAAUAACUCAGGGAAACUUGUGCUAAUACCGAAUGUGCCCUUCGGGGGAAAGAUUUAUCGCCUUUAGAGCGGCCCGCGUCUGAUUAGCUAGUUGGUGAGGUAAAGGCUCACCAAGGCGACGAUCAGUAGCUGGUCUGAGAGGAUGAUCAGCCACAUUGGGACUGAGACACGGCCCAAACUCCUACGGGAGGCAGCAGUGGGGAAUCUUGCGCAAUGGGCGAAAGCCUGACGCAGCCAUGCCGCGUGAAUGAUGAAGGUCUUAGGAUUGUAAAAUUCUUUCACCGGGGACGAUAAUGACGGUACCCGGAGAAGAAGCCCCGGCUAACUUCGUG
rnacentral:rRNA from 1 species